GAAGAACAGUGGCUUAGUGGUAGAACAUCUGCUUGGCAUGCAGAAGGUCCAAGGAUCAAUUCUUUGCAUCUUCA
rnacentral:tRNA from 1 species